rnacentral:rRNA from 1 species
UGUUUAUCUAAAGUAAAACCUGCUCAAUGAUAAUUCAAUAGCCGCAGUUUUACUGUGCUAAGGUAGCAUAAUCACUUGCUUCUUAAUUAGGAGAUAGUAUGAAUGGUUACACAUUUAAAGACAGUAUCUAACAACCUUAAUUAAAUUAAAACAGGGGUAAAAACUCCCUUAUAUUACAGCGGGACGACAAGACCCUGAUAAACUUAACAUUUAGUUGGGGAAACGAUAUAAAAAAACUUUAUAAAAAACAAAACCUAACUUAUAAUAAAUACAAGACUAGUUACUAAAGGGAUAACAGCGCAAUUUCUUUCAAAAGACCUUAUUUAAAAAGAAGUUUACGACCUCGAUGUUGAAUUAAUUUUCCUAAAAUAAGCAAAAGCAUUGACCAAGGUAGUCUGUUCGACUAUUAAAAAAUU